UGAGUUUAAAUAACAGUUUCUGCAGAGAAAGAGGAAGAAAUCACCAUAUGGCUUCUACACAAGGCAAGAAAGCAUAAUAAGUUAUCCUAUUUUGGGAUGAGUUUCCAGCAAGCUGAUAGGAUGCUAUGAUCAAGAAACAAGCUAGGUUGCUGCUAGAAACACACGCCUAGAUAAUCUAGAAUCUUUUGAACGUUAUUUGAAAUGGUUGUAUUUGAUAUUCUAUGGUUGUGAUGUUUGAUAUUUGGACGAUGUUUGAAUCAAUUUAAAUUAUAACGAAAUAUCUAGUGUUAU
rnacentral:lncRNA from 1 species